UACGUAGGCAGCGAGCGUUGUCCGGAUUUAUUGGGCGUAAAGAGCGUGUAGGCGGUUUGGUAGGUCCGCUGUGAAAACUCGAGGCUCAACCUCGAGACGCCGGUGGAAACCAUCAGACUAGAGUCCGGAAGAGGAGAGUGGAAUUCCUGGUGUAGCGGUGAAAUGCGCAGAUAUCAGGAAGAACACCCGUGGCUAAGGCGGCUCUCUAGUACGGUACUGACGCUGAGACGCGAAAGCGUGGGGAGCGAACAGG
rnacentral:rRNA from 1 species